rnacentral:rRNA from 1 species
GUGGACGUGGGGGGCAGCCUACACAUGCAGUCGAGCGGUAACAAGAGUGCGCGUGCUUUGCUGGAUGCUGACGAGCGGCGGACGGGUGAGUAAUGCAUAGGAAUCUACCCGGUAGUGGGGGAUAACCUGGGGAAACCCAGGCUAAUACCGCAUACGUCCUACGGGAGAAAGGGGGCUUUGGCUCCCGCUAUCGGAUGAGCCUAUGCCGGAUUAGCUGGUUGGUGAGGUAACGGCUCACCAAGGCGACGAUCCGUAGCUGGUCUGAGAGGAUGAUCAGCCACAUCGGGACUGAGACACGGCCCGAACUCCUACGGGAGGCAGCAGUGGGGAAUAUUGGACAAUGGGGGCAACCCUGAUCCAGCCAUGCCGCGUGUGUGAAGAAGGCCCUCGGGUUGUAAAGCACUUUCAGCGAGGAAGAACGCCUGGUGGUUAAUACCCGCCAGGAAAGACAUCACUCGCAGAAGAAGCACCGGCUAACUCCGUGCCAGCAGCCGCGGUAAUACGGAGGGUGCAAGCGUUAAUCGGAAUUACUGGGCGUAAAGCGCGCGUAGGUGGCUUGAUAAGCCGGUUGUGAAAGCCCCGGGCUCAACCUGGGAACGGCAUCCGGAACUAUCAGGCUAGAGUGCAGGAGAGGAAGGUAGAAUUCCCGGUGUAGCGGUGAAAUGCGUAGAGAUCGGGAGGAAUACCAGUGGCGAAGGCGGCCUUCUGGACUGACACUGACACUGAGGUGCGAAAGCGUGGGUAGCAAACAGGAUUAGAUACCCUGGUAGUCCACGCCGUAAACGAUGUCGACCAGCCGUUGGGUGCCUAGCGCACUUUGUGGCGAAGUUAACGCGAUAAGUCGACCGCCCUGGGAGUACGGCCGCAAGGUUAAAAACUCAAAUGAAUUGACGGGGGGCCCGCACAGCGGUGGGAGCAUGUGGUUUAAUUCGAUGCACGCGAAGAACCCUUACCUACCCUUUGACAUCCUGCGAACUUGUGAGAGAUCCACUUGUGCCUUCGGGAGCGCAAAGACAAGUGCUGCAUGGCUGUCGUCAGCUUGUGUUGUGAAAUGUUGGGUUAAGUCCCGUAACGAGCCGCCACCCUUGGUCCUAUUUGCCAGCGAGGUAUUGUCCGGGAACUCCUAAAG